ensembl:lncRNA
ACGUGUCUGGAGUGUAAUUCAGUGCUCGCUAAUGAGACGCUUGUGUGAACUGGGCUCAUCCAUAUCCCCAAGGCGUCUCCCACUCACCUGCUGCUGGAGAAACCGAGAAAGAGAUAGAGAGACAGGGGGAGGGCAGAGAAAGAAGGAAUAAAAAGAAAAUACUCUGGCAAAUUAAAUAUUGAAAAGUUUUCUGAGCAUUAUGCAGAAUUCUGACAUUACGUAGUGUAUGUUUGGGAGUGAGCACAUGCAGCGGUCUGGCUGUUUGUAGACAGCAGGUUGGAGGCCCAUCUGGACAGUGGCUUUUUUUCAAGGGACAGAAAUAACAUUCUACGGCACAUCAUGGUUUGAUGACAAAACCCUGCCUCUGUUGUUUUCUUCGUAUACCUGUGACCUUCAUUGCAAUUUAGCCUCUUAGAGAGCACAGAUAGAUCAUUGUGUCACUGUAUACUCAACGCAACUAAUACAUCAUAAAGGUGUAGGUAUCACACUUAUUAAUGGUUCACGUCUUAUCGUGAGAAUAGGUCUUUUUCAUUGAAGUUUGGUGACUUUUCUUUCACCAUCAGAACCUAUUACCUGUGGGGUGCCUCAGGGUUCUGUUAUCGGGCCUAUUACUUUUCUUUGUAUAUGCUGACCCUGGGUUUGAAUUUUAAAAAAUACAAAGCAAAGCACGGCAAAAUCGAUCUUUAGCUCUGUCCACUCCCAUGAAACACCGCAAAUUAUGUAAUCGAGUCCAUCUCCCUAUGCUUUCAAAAUACUUAAAUAAUUGUAUAGAUGUGCAUAUUUUGCAAGUAACUUAAAAUAGAAUAUUUCCAGGGACACAGCCAAAAGCAAUUAAUAGUUUUACAUUUCUCCAUUGUUUUUAAUUUGAUUUGCAAUGCUUCAUGGGAUUGUAGUUCUUUCAGGAGGGCUGGUGUCCUGCAGAGUUUAGCACAAACCCUAAUUAAACACACCUGAACCAGCUAAUCAAGGCCUUACUAGACAUACUAGAAACGUCCAGGCAGGUGUGUUGUGGCAAGUUGGAGCUAAACUCUGCAGGACACCGGCUUUCUGCACUACAAGUUCAAAAGAUCAUCAGAUUUAUUGCCAUGAGUCCUGGAAAUGUAUAAAACUGGCUAAUCAGAUUAUAUCAGGUCAGAUGGCUCAUGUGCAAUCCGUGGGCAGUCCAGCUGUCCCUGAGACUUCCUGAGGUCUGAUCUGGAGUAAAAUACACGGAGAAAGAUGGACACCUUCAACAGGAUGAAGGAGAGCUGCAUAAACUAGAAGCGAAAAAGCACACUAAAGUGGUUACAGAGAGUGAAGAAUGCCAAUUCAAAUGCUUGUGAGGAAACAAACCAGUGGAUCAAGGGAUACAGUGGAAAAUAUAAAAGAAUAUUCUGAGUAAGCCCGAACAGAAAACAUGAUUUCCUCACAUUAUGCAGUGAGUAGUUGGGCUUUGUCUCUGUUCACCUUGUACUGGACAUUCAUCUGUAACCUGGAAGAUAAAGUGUCAUAAUGAUAUUUUUCUGCUUAAGAUGAGGAAAAUUGCCGAUCACCUCAAUUUCUGUCCCUUGCUCUCAAAAUGAUAAAAUAUUCAAAUCCAGUGCUUUUUACUGAUCCAGAUGGUCAGGACAAGAUUAAAUAAAACAGCUGUUUUGUACUGCAGAUUGUAAAAUGGGUCUGAAUGAAUUAGGCAGCACCUCUCUCUCUCUCUCUCGCUCUCUCUCUCUCUCUCUCAUUGGUUUCUCAUAUUAGGCAUGCUUUAUUGGAUUACUACACAACCAGACGAGGUGGUAAUUAUAGCUUUGCUCAUCAGGAAUGUGUCUGUUCAUUGAUAAUCUAUACUGAUAGAAGCCCUUCCUGUAUAUACGGCAGCCCAAUCCCCAAAAGACGAGCCUUAUCCAGCCAAAGUCCUAAAACAAUGUAAUGACACUCAUCUGUGGGGCG